AUGGCUUCUGCUGAAGGAGGAGACAAGUACCGGUCGUUCCUGCACGGCGAUGGCGAGAAGAACACCGUGUGGAGGCAUGGAGCCCCUCCCAACUACGACCUGGUGAACAAGCUCUUCGAGGAAGAGAGGACCAAGGAAUGGCCGGAGGGGUCUCUGGAAGAGAAGGUGCAGCGCCUGCUCAAAAGCUGGGAGAUGGAGAUGGUCCACAAGGUGCGCCCCGAGGACCAGAAGAGCGUCCACCCUAGGAAUUACUCCGCGAGCACCAACGGGCUGAAGCCUCUGACGCGGGAGGAGGUGACCGCCAUCGGCGGCUACAACGCGUUCCUGGCGACCAAGCUGCCGCCGGAGCACCGCAUCUACGACCCGGACAAGGAGACGGUCGACUCCGGCAUGUCGACGUUCCUCACGGCGUUCCCCAGGGGCUUCGCCAUCGAGGUGCUGGACGUGUACAGCGGCCCGCCGAGGGUCGCCUUCAAGUUCCGGCACUGGGGUUACAUGGAGGGGCCGUUCAAGGGCCACCCCCCUCACGGCCACCGCGUCGAGUUCUUUGGCGUCUGCAUUUUCCACGUUGACGACGACACGAGGGUGGAGAAGGCCGAGUACUUCUACGAGCGUGGCAACUUCCUCGCGAGCUUCUUGAUAUCCUAA
rnacentral:rRNA from 1 species